UUCAAAAACCUUCUCCAAGAAUAUAAAAGUGAACCCUAAGCAUUAUAAUCCAUAUAUCAUCAGUUUUACAACAUCUCAAUCCUCUAUACUCUCAAGAACAAGAUGGAAAAUAGGUUUUCUCCAAGAUCAAGAAAUCAAGAAAAAUCAAUCCUUAAGUUCAAGAUCUCUAAGAAACAAAUCAAGAUUCAAGUUUCCUUCCCUUUCAUAGAUCAAGAAUUCAUCUUCCUAAGUGAAUACAUUCAAGAAACGGAUCAAGAUCCGGGUUUCAUCUAUCUAGAUCUGGGUUUCAUCUUUCAGAUCUUAUAAAUUAAGGUACGUGGGGUGUUUCUAAAAUCUCAUGGGCAUAGAAAUCAUGUUUUUAGGAAAAGGAUUUCAAACUUAUGAACAUACUCAUGUUUUAGAAGCAUUGCUGAUAUUGUUUUGGCCUUUAGGCCUUCUCCAAAUUUGAUUUAAAGUGAUAUAUGUAUAUAUGUAUGUGUUUCAAGGUUGAUGAUUGAAUUGAGAGCAUGAUUCGAGUAAAAUCCCUCUCUGGUUAUGAUUUUUCCUUUACUUAUGACAUGCUAUGGAUUGUUCCGAAUGUGUUUCGAAAAGCUUAAUAUGAAAGGUCUUGAAUAACGUCAUGUUCGGAUUAUGGAUUUGAUUUCAAAAGAGAGAGGGUAGUUUAUGUUGAUAAAUGUGAAAAUAUUCAUAUAAUGAAAGAGUGCAUGAUUUUGCCAAAAGCACAUGAUCACUAUAUGUUUGAGGAAUUCUUGCAUAGUUUUGACUUAUGUUUCGGAACAUGAAAUCUCUUAAACUUUUUGCAUGUUUGGGUGGUCUGAAUUGACUUUUCAUGAAAGAAUCAUGCAUGAUACAUUAUGGCUUAGAAAAUAGGACUUGCAAGUCUUGGUGUGAUGACACCAACUCAGAUAAUGCCGUGGUAAUUCAAAACAUAAUAGAACACAUGAUUGAAAUAAGAUUUUUAUAAGUUGAAACUAAAAAAAAUGCAUGAUUCAGAACAGGAUAAAACUGGGCAUAAAGAGAGAUUAGAUGGUUCCCCGAAGAAGGCAUGAGUUCAGAUAACUCAUUGCCCAAAAUGUGAUUUAUUGAUACGAGCAUAUUAUUUUACGCUGGCCUAGUGUCGUGUAGUGUAUCAGAAUCAAAAACUCCAACCCUUGCAGCACACUCGGGUUGGGGGCUUCCCCACCGAUUCAAUGGCGGAUUCCAUACAGCCCGUGGAAUAUCAGAAUUGUAGGGGAAUGCCACCUAACUCAGAAGCAAUACAAAGAUCAGAAACUGCAUUGACAGAAAGUUUUAUGAUUUAUCAAAAAUGCCCAUGCGUCUUGAAUUCAUAUCAUACAUGAUGUUUUAUAACUAGCUCUCAACUAUUUUAUUUAUAUAAAAGCAUUAUUUUGGAUUGCUUUGCAUACCAGUACAUCUUUAUUGAACCCCUCCCCCCUACCUAUCAGGUUCUGAUGCUCAGUCUAGGGGUCCAAAUAAGCAGUAGAUAUUUCAGACAGCAGAUCAGAUUUUACAGUGGUGAGCCUUCUCUAUUCCAGAAAGCCUGUCCUUUCAGAUUAUGUCAUUUAUUUCAGUUUUGGUCUACUGGGGGCCUUGUCCCAGUUUUCAGAUAGUGGUCAGAUUUUCAUGUAGUAGAGAUUUCGUAGACGAUUUCAGACGAUGUUUAGUUGAUAUUGGAUUUUAUUCCUCAUUGUUAAACUAAAUCUAGAAUAUGCCCAUGUUUCCGUGGAAGAUUUUAUUUCUGCAUUUC
rnacentral:lncRNA from 1 species